rnacentral:lncRNA from 1 species
CAACAGGAUGUGUUGCGUGCCUCAGUGCACGAACCGAGCGGUGAAGGAUGAGAUAAGCCUUCAUUCGUUCCCGCUGGACGCGCGACUUAAGAAGGAGUGGGUGGUGAAGCUCCGGAUCGGCAAGCCCGUGACGCCGCCAAUGAAGGUUUGCAGCGCACAUUUCAUCUCCUAAGACUUCUUCUGGAGCAGCAUUGACCCCAAAGUGUGGACGCCUAAUCGAAGACGACUGAAGAAGACUGCUGUGCCUUCACAGAACUUGCCCAUAAGAACUCAUGA